rnacentral:rRNA from 1 species
GAUGAACGCUGGCGGCGUGCUUAACACAUGCCAGUCGAACGGAAAGGCCCAAGCUUGCUUGGGUACUCGAGUGGCGAACGGGUGAGUAACACGUGGGUGAUCUGCCCUGCACUUCGGGAUAAGCCUGGGAAACUGGGUCUAAUACCGGAUAGGACCACUUCUUGGAUGUUGUGGUGGAAAGUUUUUUCGGUGUGGGAUGAGCUCGCGGCCUAUCAGCUUGUUGGUGGGGUAAUGGCCUACCAAGGCGUCGACGGGUAGCCGGCCUGAGAGGGUGUACGGCCACACUGGGACUGAGAGACGGCCCAGACUCCUACGGGAGGCAGCAGUGGGGAAUAUUGCACAAGGGGCGCAAGCCGGAUGCAGAGACGCCGCGGGGGGGAUGACGGCCUUCGGGUUGUAAACUCCUUUCGCUAGGGACGAAGCGUUUUGUGACGGUACCUGGAGAAGAAGCACCGGCUAACUACGUG